rnacentral:tRNA from 1 species
UGCCGUGUGGCUCAGUGGUAGAGCACUUGCCUAACACGGGUGAGGCUCUGGGCGUGAUCCCCAGCACUGCAA